UACAGAGACUGCAAGCGUUAUUCGGAUUCACUGGGCGUAAAGGGUGCGCAGGCGGCGAUAUGCGUGAGGCGUGAAAGCCCGAGGCUUAACCUCGGAAUUGCACCUCAAACUAUAUCGCUAGAGCAUUGGAGAGGGUAGCAGAAUUCACGGUGUAGCAGUGAAAUGCGUAGAUAUCGUGAGGAAUACCAGAGGCGAAGGCGGCUACCUGGACAAUUGCUGACGCUCAGGCACGAAAGCGUGGGGAGCAAAAGGG
rnacentral:rRNA from 1 species